rnacentral:piRNA from 1 species
UUCAGUUAAGCAUUGCCAAUU